rnacentral:rRNA from 1 species
UACGGGGGGGGCAAGCGUUGUUCGGAAUUACCGGGCGUAAAGGGCGCGUAGGCGGCCUACUAAGUCAGACGUGAAAUCCCCCGGCUUAACCUGGGAACUGCGUCUGAUACUGGAAGGCUUGAGGAUGGGAGAGGGAUGUAGAAUUCCAGGUGUAGCGGUGAAAUGCGUAGAUAUCUGGAGGAAUACCGGUGGCGAAGGCGGCAUCCUGGACCAUUACUGACGCUGAGGCGCGAAAGCUAGGGGAGCAAACGGG